rnacentral:lncRNA from 1 species
CUGGGCUUGCCCCCAGUAUUUUUUUUUUAACCUCAGAAUAACCCCACAUUUUCUGUAAUUGGGUAGUUUGGGCCCCACUAAUCAUGUGAUAGGGAAGUUUUACUAUGUUAUCCAUGGGCCCAAGAUAUUAUGCUAUGUAUUUUCAAGUAAGCUAUAUUAUAAUUAUAUCCCACUGUAGAGCAAAUGGUUUUGCAACUACUAAGGCAGACCUGAAAAAAAAUGCCUUCAGGUAUCUGGGAAAGUGUAGAGAGGAUGGGUCCUGGGAAGGCCUCUGUAGAUGGACCACCCAAAAGCCAUACACAGUUCCUAGGUUAGCUCAUUUGUGCUGCUAUAGCAAAAUACCUGAGAAUGGCUAAUUUAUAAGGAACAGAAAUUAUUUCUGCCAGUUCUGGAGGUUGGGAAGUCCAAGAUUAAGGUGCCAGUAAGUUUAUAGUCUGGUGAGGGUUUGGUUUCUGCUUUUAAGGUGGUGCCUUGAACACCAUGUCCUCCAGCAGGGAGGAGCUCUAUGUCCUUACAUGGCAGGAGGUACAAGGGCAAGAGACCAAAUGCUCCAUGAAACUUCUUUUACAAGGGCUUCAAUCCCAUUCAUGAGAGCAGAACCUUCAUGGGCCAAUCACCUCUUAAAGGCCCCCCUCUUAAAAUUACAUUGGCAAUGUGAAGUUUGGAGGGAACAUUCAAACAAUAGUAGUCCCCUUUCCCAUUGCCUUUCUUUAUUAUAGAAAUCUGAAAAAGGCUGGACGUAGUGGCUUAUGCCUUUAAUUCCACCACUUUCGGAGGCCAAGGUGGGAGUAUGACUUAAGCCCAAGAGUUUGAGACCAUCCUGGGCAACAUAGAGUCCCUUUCUCUAACAAAACUUUAAAAAAUUAACCAAGCAUGGUGGCACGCACCUGCAGUCCACCUAUUUGGGAAGCUGGCCGGGGGAGGAUCUUUUUUUUUUUUUUGAGAUGGAGUCUCACUCUGUCAUCCAGGCUAGAGUACAGUAGAGUACAGCAGCGUGAUCUCGGCUCACUGCAAGCUCCGCCUCCUGGGUUCACGCCAUUCUCCUGCCUCAGCCUCCUGAGUAGCUGGGACUACAGGCGUCCGCCACCAUGCCGGGCUAAUUUUUUUGUAUUUUUAGUAGAGACGGGAUUUCACCGUGUUAGCCAGGAUGGUCUUGAUCUCCUGAUGUCAUGAUGAAGGAUCAUUUUUGAGCCCAAGAGGUCGAGGAUGCAGUGAGCCGUGAUCACACCACUGCACUCUAGUCUGGGUGACACAGCCACACUCUUCUCAAAAAGAAAAAAAAAAUGGAAACUUGGAAGAAGAAGAAAACAAUCACCUUUCCAGAUUCCUUUGUAGAGAGACAGCCCAGAGACUCAGCUCUGCCUGGAGAGAUAUAACUGGCAGUGCCAGGUUGGGACUUCCAGGAAUGCUUUUCAAAAGGGAAAGAUCUGUCUGGCAUGCACCGUUUUUCCUUUGGAACAUUGAUAUGAUGCCUGGAAAGUCAGCAAUGAGUCCCGAAGAUAAAAGCCGCACACUAAGACUACUGAAGCAGAAAUAAAAGGCUGGAUCCUUAAUGAUGAUUUUAAGGGUGAGGAACCUGGGCACAGCAGGGAUGGCUUAUUUCUGUUCCACAAUACUCACCUUGUCCAGGGGCUGGAAUCAUGACAAAGUUGUCACUCUCAUAAC